GAUGAAGAACGCAGCGAAAUGCGAUAAGUAAUGUGAAUUGCAGAAUUCAGUGAAUCAUCGAGUCUUUGAACGCACAUUGCGCCCCCUGGUAUUCCGGGGGGCAUGCCUGUCCGAGCGUCAUUGCUGCCCUCAAGCACGGCUUGUGUGUUGGGCCCCGCCCCCCGGCUCCCGGGGGGCGGGCCCGAAAGGCAGCGGCGGCACCGCGUCCGGUCCUCGAGCGUAUGGGGCUUCGUCACCCGCUCCGUAGGCCCGGCCGGCGCCCGCCGGCGACCCCCCUCAAUCUUUUCAGGUUGACCUCGGAUCAGGUAGGGAUACCCGCUGAACUUAAGCAUAUCAAUAAGCGGAGGA
rnacentral:misc_RNA from 1 species